rnacentral:rRNA from 1 species
GAUCAUGGCUCAGGAUGAACGCUAGCUACAGGCUUAACACAUGCAAGUCGAGGGGCAUCAGGAAGAAAGCUUGCUUUCUUUGCUGGCGACCGGCGCACGGGUGAGUAACACGUAUCCAACCUACCCUUUACUCGGGGAGUAGCCUUUCGAAAGAAAGAUUAAUACCCGAUGGCAUAAUGAUUCCGCAUGGUUUCAUUAUUAAAGGAUUCCGGGUAAAAGGAUGGGGAUGCGUUCCAUUAGGUUGUUGGUGAGG